rnacentral:rRNA from 1 species
UGGGGAAUAUUGCGCAAUGGACGAAAGUCUGACGCAGCGACGCCGCGUGUGGGAGGAAGCUCUUCGGGGUGUAAACCACUGUCAGGAGGGAAGAACGGCGCCGGUUCGAACAGUUCCGGCGAUUGACGGUACCUCCAAAGGAAGCGCCGGCUAACUCCGUGCCAGCAGCCGCGGUAAUACGGAGGGUGCAAGCGUUGUUCGGAAUUACUGGGCGUAAAGCGCGUGUAGGUGGUCGAGUAAGUCGAAUGUGAAAGCCCCGGGCUCAACCCGGGAAGUGCAUCCGAAACUGCUCGACUAGAGUCCCGGAGAGGAAGGCAGAAUUCCCAAUGUAGGGGUGAAAUCCGUAGAUAUUGGGAGGAAUACCGGUGGCGAAGGCGGCCUUCUGGACGGUGACUGACACUCAGACGCGAAAGCGUGGGGAGCAAACAGGAUUAGAUACCCUCGUAGUCCCUGAGCGGGCUGGCAAGGCGCAU